CCAUGUGUAGCGGUGAAAUGCGUAGAUAUAUGGAGGAACACCGGUGCGAAAGCGGCUCUCUGGUCUGUCACUGACGCUGAGGCUCGAAAGCGUGGGUAGCGAACAGGAUUAGAUACCCUGGUAGUNCACGCCGUAAACGCUGAGUGCUAGGUGUUAGGUCCNUUCCGGGACUUAGUGCCGACGCUAACGCAUUAAGCACUCCGCCUGGGGAGUACGACCGCAAGGUUGAAACUCAAAGGAAUUGACGGGGGCCCGCACAAGCGGUGGAGUAUGUGGUUUAAUUCGAAGCAACGCGAAGAACCUUACCAGGUCUUGACAUCCCGAUGCCCGCUCUAGAGAUAGAGUUUUUCUUCGGAACAUCGGAGACAGGUGGUGCAUGGUUGUCGUCAGCUCGUGUCGUGAGAUGUUGGGUUAAGUCCCGCAACGAGCGCAACCCUUAUUGUUAGUUGCCAUCAUUAAGUUGGGCACUCUAGCGAGACUGCCGGUAAUAAACCGGAGGAAGGUGGGGAUGACGUCAAAUCAUCAUGCCCCUUAUGACCUGGGCUACACACGUGCUACAAUGGUUGGUACAACGAGUCGCAAGCCGAUGACGGCAAGCUAAUCUCUGAAAGCCAAUCUCAGUUCGGAUUGUAGGCUGCAACUCGCCUACAUGAAGUCGGAAUCGCUAGUAAUCGCGGAUCAGCACGCCGCGGUGAAUACGUUCCCGGGCCUUGUACACACCGCCCGUCACACCACGAGAGUUUGUAACACCCAAAGUCGGUGAGGUAACCAUUUAUGGGGCCAGCCGCCUAAGGUGGGANGGA
rnacentral:rRNA from 1 species